GACCUUGAGCGUGGCUGGGGUGGUGGGAUUCAAAAUGGUCAGUAAUCUGUUUGUUCACUUGGCUUUCGAAGACUUUAGAAAGACAGGGCAGGAUGGAUAUAGGUGUGUAACAGUUUGGGUCUAGAGGCAGGGCAGGAUGGAUAUAGGUCUGUAACAGUUUGGGUCUAGAGGCAGGGCAGGGCAGGAUGGAUAUAGGUCUGUAACAGUUUGGGUAUAGAGGCAGGGCAGGGCAGGAUGGAUAUAGGUCUGUAACAGUUUGGGUCUAGAGGCAGGGCAGGAUAGAUAUAGGUCUGUAACAGUUUGGGUCUAGAGGCAGGGCAGGAUGGAUAUAGGUCUGUAACAGUUUGGGUCUAGAGGCAGGGCAGGAUGGAUAUAGGUCUGUAACAGUUUGGGUCUAGAGGCAGGGCAGGAUGGAUAUAGGUCUGUAACAGUUUGGGUCUAGAGGCAGGGCAGGAUGGAUAUAGGUCUGUAACAGUUUGGGUCUAGAGGCAGGGCAGGGCAGGGCAGGAUGGAUAUAGGUCUGUAACAGUUUGGGUCUAGAGGCAGGGCAGGGCAGGGCAGGAUGGAUAUAGGUCUGUAACAGUUUGGGUCUAGAGGCAGGGCAGGGCAGGGCAGGAUGGAUAUUGGUCUGUAACAGUUUGGGUCUAGAGUGUCUCCCCCUUUGAAGAGGGGGAUGACCGCAGCC